ACAAGGUGGCAGCCGGACAGGAGAGCGGGGGCUGGGGGACAGAGGAGACACAGCAGACACUGUGAGGGAGUGUUAAUGAAGCGCCAUGCAGCAGCCGCGUGCCAGAAAAAAAGAUGAGUAACCCGCUCCGUCCAGACCCUGCUCUGCACAGCUGCCCCUGCCCGCAGGGCGGGGCGGGGCGGGCCCAGGCUGCUCCCCAGGUCGGCAUUCCGGGACGUUGGGUGAUCCGGAGGUGGACCCCACCUUUCAGCACGGGGUUGGCCAGACCUCAGUCAGGCGGCAAUUCCUCACAUGACUAAGGGUCCUGUCACCGAGGCGCCUGUGGAAGCCCCUGUGAGGCCCAAGGACCGGAGCUGAGUGUUCCCGAGGCCGGGAUGGAAGAAAAUGUGCUCACUUAUGUCACUAGACGAAAUGAAUAAAAUGUUAAAGAAAAAAAAAGAACAACUGCACUUUGUCCGCUAGAGUGACACCACCCUCGUCACCAGCCGCCUCCCCCUCAGGAGCUCUGUGCUUGGAAACACUGGGCCACAGUCUGUCCACCACGGCCGUAAAUAACUGUCAGCUGGAAUUCCCAGUUAAGAACCAGCAUCGCUGUCUGAGUCACUGCCUCCGGAGCCCAGGGACUGUCAGGACGGCUGUGGCUGUGGGUCACAGCCCUGGCCUGGCUCUUCCUGGGAGAAGUGUCCCACACAAACUCAACGGCCAGAGCAGGCCACCGAGGGGUCCACGGGUCCUCGGCAAAUGAACUGAGGACAUGACAGCAAAAUGCGUCCAUCCUACUCUUUGGUGUUAGAGGGGCCUUUCCUGUAUUGAAUUCUUAAUUAUUAAAUCAUUAAUAGUAGAUGAUGUUUAUUAUUUUCAGAUGUCUUUAAUCUGGCAAAGUAAAAAGAUAGUAAUCUUCUC